AGUACAAGUUGUGGCACACAGGAAGAGCAGGAGGAGCUGGACCUAGAGUCAGAAGUGGAACUAUCACCCACCUACCUGGAAGAGAAGGAUUGCUUUACCUUUACCCACCUGAAUCAGGAGAUUAGAAAUGCCUGAGAGGCAGAGAACUGGGUGUUCUAACUCGUUGGCAAGAGGCUUGCUGAGGAGCAAGGCUGCUGGAUUGACGUUUCUGCUGAAAUAGUGUGAAAGAAGAAAUGCAAUCAUUCCAAAGGAGCUUUCACAACGUGUGUAGGAUUUGUAAAGAAAGCUGGUUACAUGAUUCCUGAAACCACUCAC